CUCCUCUGCCUGGCCUCCAGAAGAGUUUGGAAGAGCAGCCUCGAAGACCGAGGAAGAACAUGGACUCUGGAGUCUGUUACUGCCAGUUUUGGUUCUAGUACGUUAAACUCCUGAGCCUCAGGGUCUACAUCUGCAAACUGAGGUGACAAUGCUGGACUUCUCUAAGAGAUGACCUGGAGGACCAAACUUAUCUCCUGCCAGUGUUUCUCAGCGAGGGUGCUGGUGGUGUCUGAGGCAGGCUGUGUCUUCGUUAUGAAGGAGUAUCCCACAUGUUACGGGGUAUUUAACAUCCCUGGCCCCACUCGCUCACACUCAGCAGUGCCUUCAGUCACUGGGACAUCCUGGAUACCCCAGGCAUUUCUAAGUACCCCCUGAGCCAGCAGUCUCCCAAUCGAGAAACUAAACUCCUCGAAGGCAGGGACCACGUCUUUGUGUUGCCAAAGCCAGGUGCCCAGUAGGGGCUCAAUAUGAGUUUGUUCCUGUCAUGGACUUUUUUUUUUUUUUUUUUUUGAGACUUGAGUCUCGCUCUUUCGCCCAGGCUGGAGUGCAGUGGCGUGAUCUCGGCUCACUGCAACCUCCGCCUCCCCAGUUCACGCCAUUCUCCUG
rnacentral:lncRNA from 1 species